AUGAUCAUUGAUAUUUAGGAGAUAAAAUUAUAAUGACUUGGGGAGUGCUGGUAAUCUAUGUGGGCUUUACCUAACUAGUUCCUUCUAUUCUCUGUGCCCCAUACCUCUACAGAGUCGACAGUGGAGAGAGCAAGGACUCAGGUAUCAGACACAUUAAUCCCAGUUUACUACUUAGCUGCUGUGUUACCUUGGGCAAGUCACCUAACUUCUCUGGACUGCAGUUUUCCUCAAACGGGGGCAAUAUGAAGCAUGAUCACAGAGGGCUUUCCUUUCCUGCAUGUCUCCGAGCAAAAGCUGAAAAGAAAGCUCCUGGAGCAGGACCUGGAGGAGGCCACUGUCUGGCUGGAUGGAGAAAGGGGAGGCAAAGAGAGAGCAGGGGCCGGGAAGUUGACAGGAACAGGCUAAAGGAGGCUCGGAGAAGAAGUCCACAGAACUAAUAAGUGGUGGAACCUGGUGCCACCCACAGCCCUUGGUCUCCAACACUCUUCACCUCACACAGCUCUCCUGGCAGUGCUCAGAGAAGGCUGUGUCCUCCUCACUUCCACAGAAGUUGGCAUCGUAUGUGGUCAAAGCUCAGUUUGCCAGAAGGACGCCGUGGGGUGAUCAUACCUUCCUCCAUCUGAACGUGUCCUCUGACCAUGCCUUCUGUAGGAGCCGAGGCAUUGUAAGAGUGGUAAAUGCAAUUAAGAAUGGGAAUGACCUUAAUGUGCAACAGCAGUGGAUUGGGUAAACAAAUUUUGGUCUCCCCGUUUAAAAUAUCCUAUCUGGCUGUCAGAAUGAUAAGGCAGAAGAAUAUUUAACUUCAUGGAAAAAUGCUCCUGACGUAUUGGGACAUUGAAGAAGUACACUUACUUUCUUUCUUUCUUUUUAUUUUUAUUUUUUUGCGGUAUGCGGGCCUCUCACUGCUGUGGCCUCUCCCGUUGCGGAGCACAGGCUCCGGACG